rnacentral:rRNA from 1 species
AAAGAACGCUGGCGGCAGGCCUAACACAUGCAAGUCGAGCGCCCCGCAAGGGGAGCGGCGGACGGGUGAGUAACACGUGGGAAUUUUCCUCAAGGUACGGAACAACUCAGGGAAACUUGGGCUAAUACCGUACGAUGCAGAGAUGCCAAAGAUUUAUCGCCUUGGGAUAAGCCCGCUUCAGAUUAGGUAGUUGGGGGGGUAAUGGCCUACCAAGCCUGUGAUCUGUAGCUGGUCUGAGAGGACGGUCGGCCACAUUGGGACUGAGACACGGCCCAAACUCCUACGGGAGGCAGCCGUGGGGAAUCUGGCGCAAUGGGCGAAAGUCUGACGCAGCCAUGCCGCGUGAAUGAUGAAGGUCCUAGGAUUGUAAAGUUCUUUAGCCUGUGACGAUGAUGACGGUAACAGGAGAAUAAGCCCCGGCUAACUUCGUGCCAGCAGCCGCAGUAACAC